rnacentral:lncRNA from 1 species
AUCUCUCAGCAAGAUUGUAGCAAAAAGUACUGGAGGACACACACAGCAGAACAGCCCUCCGUUUACUACUUCAGAAGUAGCUGAAACUAAGAUACC